rnacentral:rRNA from 1 species
GAUGAACGCUAGCGGCAGGCCUAAUACAUGCAAGUCGAACGGUGUCUUCGGACAUAGUGGCGCACGGGUGCGUAACACGUAUGCAACCUACCUUACAUUGGGGGAUAGCCUUUCGAAAGGGAGAUUAAUACCGCAUAAGACAGUAGCUGGGCAUCCAGCAGCUGUUAAAGAUUUAUCGAUGUAAGCUGGGCAUGCGUCCAAUUAGCUAGUUGGUGAGGUAACGGCUCACCAAGGUAAUGAUUGGUAGGGGAACUGAGAGGUCAAUCCCCCACACUGGCACUGAGAUACGGGCCAGACUCCUACGGGAGGCAGCAGUAGGGAACAUUGGGCAAUGGACGCAAGUCUGACCCAGCCAUGCCGCGUGCAGGAUGAAGGCGUUAUGCGUUGUAAACUGCUUUUAUACAGGAAGAAACGACUCUUGCGAGAGGCAUUGACGGUACUGUAUGAAUAAGCACCGGCUAACUCCGUGCCAGCCGCCGCUGUAACAC